CCUGGAAACAGAUGCUAAUACCGGAUAACAACAGAUGAUGCCUAUCAACUGUUUAAAAGAUGGUUCUGCUAUCACUCUUGGAUGGACCUGCGGUGCAUUAGCUAGUUGGUAGGGUAACGGCCUACCAAGGCGAUGAUGCAUAGCCGAGUUGAGAGACUGAUCGGCCACAUUGGGACUGAGACACGGCCCAAACUCCUACGGGAGGCAGCAGGU
rnacentral:rRNA from 1 species